GCACUCAAGACAGUGACAGUGGAGAGUAUUAUUGUGUAGCCACUCCUUGGUACCUGUCAGCCUCAACAGGAGCCUGGACUCAAGCUGGAGAGCUGACGUCAUCCAGAGUCUUCCUUACUGUCCGAUUCGCUGUGUGGGACUCCCUGCAGUUACCUCUUUUAUAUGGUGCAUCAGCCUCAAUAGGUGUGGGCCUCUUUUCUCUGGUCCUGGGUCUGGUGUGUGCCCAGUGGUGCUGCCGCAACACUGCGCAUACUCCACGCUCACGCAACAAACUGAUGGACUUGGAGAUGGACUGACAAACACUUUCCCCCGCACCCACAUACUGCAGCGCUCACAAGAAACACCACACACACAACAGACACACGCACAUAGACGAUUUCUGGGACACCCAGUUGUUUCCAGGCGACGGACGUUGGGAGUAAAAUGACACAUCGCUCUGGAAACUGAAGCCUGAUUGACCAAUCUCAGUGCUUUACAAGGUGCUCAGGAUCUUUCAGCUCUGCAGUGGAGGUGCAGGGGAUGAGCACCAAUGGGGAAAAUAGCCUUUGAGACAUCUUUUUCUAUGAAGAUCUAAUUAAAUCUGUGGCGCUUCCAGUGAUUUUUACACAGAUAUAUACACAUACACUCCCUGUUAAAACCAUAGCGCUACGGGAAAAUGACGAAUCCAGAGUGUAAUUUUUGAGGAAGAGGAGGCCUCUGAGACAUCACUGCCAACUUCGGGAAUAAUCACUAAACAGAUCUGCUGCUUCUGUAACCACUGGGGAUAGCAAAUGACAUGCUCAGGCUGAACUACACUAAACUUUUUUAUGACCGCUCUGUGUUCCUGCUGGUGACGGCACACCAGCGUUCCUCGCUCUAGUUGUUUUUUGAGGGAAGAUAGUAACGAUUCAUUUCACUUGUUUGGUUGAACCUUGUAUCUGCACAGGGUUUUUAGCAUCUUUAUGUCACAUGGACAACAUCUGCUAAAGCUGUUCUGUGUGUGCAGAGGGUGAUGGUUUCAGCAGCCUGAGCCUUAUUUAAUGUCAUGGAGUAAACAUGUUGGUUCGGGCAGCGGACGUCCUAGUAAACAAAGUGCUCCAUGUGCUUGUACUGCACUAGAACUACCAGGCCAGAGUAUUCCUACCUUAUCAAAAGGACAAUAUAUACCUUUAUUCUCAACUCUAGUUUUUUCAAAAUUAUGAGAUUUUAAAAUGAGAGACCUUUUGAAGCUUUACAAGGAGAUAUGCAGUCUGUGUGUUUGUGUGUGAGAUCUACUGUAUCUGGUGCCAAUAUUUGAACCAACAGAGGUGUGCUUGGUUCAUUUUUUUUUUCUAUAUCAACACUUGAACAGUCACUGAAAAGUGGUGACAACAAGCACUCUUCUUUUCUAGAUAUUCAGCCGUGUCCAGAUGUUGCCUGAGUCUCGUGUGUGCUUUGUACACUGUGCGAGUGCUGUGCUAUAGUGUGAGACAGAAUUGCAUGUAUUGUUUUAUAAUGACAGAUUGAUGUCAUUCACAAGUGUUUUUUCCAGGGUUACAGUUUGACGACAUUGAAGUCCUGCAGAUUUUGAAAGUUAGCUGUCACUCAGCUGAUUAAUGUGUUCACACUGCGAGCAGCAUGACUGUUUUAACUGUGUGUGGGUGGUGCAAGACACUCAGUUACUUUCAUGGUUUGCAUCUGCAAAAUGUUGAACAGGAAAAUCCUGCAUGUUUCUCAGAUUCUGCUUUUUAAAGGAAUAAGUCAGCAUUCUGGGGAACAUGCUUGUUUGCUUUUUUCCUCCAGAACUGGAGUCAGGAGGUGCUCAGGUGCAAGACUUAGCUUAGCAUUAAGACUGGAAACAGGGGGAAAUGUUAGCAUGGCUCUGCCCAUAGUGGAAAUGUGCAUACGAACAGCUCUAAAGCUCACUAAUUACUGUGCAUCUCUUUUGUUUGAUUUACAUUAAAACAAAGCAUGAAAAUUUGUGAUUGUUUUGCUGAGUUAUAUAAUGUCUUGGCUGCACAGGUUGAUAAAUUGAACCCCUCCUGGAGCCACAAAUUCUCUUUUUCUGUUCAUGCAGAGGUUUAAAAAAAUGAGAUGCAUUGUGCUAACUAAUGAGCCUUAGAUGUGCUGGUGUGUAGUUUUUCUUUACUUUAAGGAGAACUGUGCUGGCUAUUCUCCUGCUUCCAGGGCUAACCACAUCCUGAAUCCAGCUCCAUAUGUAACACAAAGUGGAAGCAGAGAGGGUCUGCUAGCCUUGAAA